rnacentral:rRNA from 1 species
GGUGGGGAUGACGUCAAGUCAUCAUGGCCCUUACGGCCUGGGCUACACACGUGGCUACAAUGGUCGGUACAAAGGGUUGCCAAGCCGCGAGGUGGAGCUAAUCCCAUAAAACCGAUCGUAGUCCGGAUCGCAGUCUGCAACUCGACUGCGUGAAGUCGGAAUCGCUAGUAAUCGUGAAUCAGAAUGUCACGGUGAAUACCGGUUCCCGGGCCUU